rnacentral:sRNA from 1 species
ACGUGCUACUCGUCCACGUCGGUUCCUACGCGCCGGCCGCACCCACCUACGACUGCGCGCUACGGUUUCUUAGCC